GUAAUGACACCAAAAGAGAGACAUGACAAGAGGAAGAGGAACUUUUCCGCCAAAGCGGUGUCUCCCGUUACUUUUGGGGUAAAGGAAUUAUUGCCUGCUACAGACUGUGAGGAGAUCUGUAAACUUCUCAAAGAGAAAUACAAUGGUGAUGAAGUGUUAAAUUUGGGUGGGACUAUCAUGACGGGGGCUCAGCUGCUGAAGUGUAUAGAGGAUCCUAAGAGUGCCCCGAAUCUUCUGGGUGUUUUUGUUGAAUGCCUCAAGCAGGAUGAUAACAAGAACGGCAAUAAUAAUAAAAGAAUAAUUAUCCAACCACAACAUCAGUUGGAUGAAGAAUUUGUGCAAGUGAUUAAGAAAGAGAUCGGGAGCAGCAAAAAAGAUGGAGGGUAGAGCAGAGAUUCCUAUUUUGUGCUAUCACUGAAGAAGAUCCUAACACUCAAAAACAAGAAGGCAUAAUUCUUUUCCUCGAUAGUGAGCAAAAAACCCAGAUCAAGAAACUCGAGGAUAGUUGUUAUGCAGCAGAAAAGGUUUAUAAUAUGGAAACAGAUUACAAACUGGGCAAAGGUACUGAAGAUGAUGUUUUUGACGAUGAGGUUGAUAAUAACAUUGGACACCUUGUAGAGGUCGAUGUAAACAGUAAAGAAAAGGGUAGUGAGGUUGAAAAAUUUGAAGGCUUAAAACAGUAGCUGCAGAAUCUUCAUUGCUUCCAGAACCAAUAUAAAAAGGCAUUUGAAUUUAUACCGGAGAGGAAAGCUGCAAUUCUGAAAGAGUUGAAGGAGUUGCUAGAGGAGUACAACUUGCCCUAUGAGGUUCUUGAAAAAGUGACAUCCCAUGC